rnacentral:rRNA from 1 species
AAUCAACGCUGGCGGCGUGCCUAACACAUGCAAGUCGAACGCGAAAGCCCCGCAAGGGGUAAGUAGAGUGGCAAACGGGUGAGUAACACGUGGGUGACCUGCCCUCGAGUGGGGGAUAACGUCCCGAAAGGGACGCUAAUACCGCAUGACAUCCUGCUUUUGAAAAAGCGGAGAUCAAAGCUGGGGAUCGCAAGACCUAGCGCUUGAAGAGGGGCCCGCGCCUGAUUAGCUAGUUGGUGAGGUAACGGCUCACCAAGGCGACGAUCAGUAUCCGGCCUGAGAGGGCGGACGGACACACUGGGACUGAGACACGGCCCAGACUCCUACGGGAGGCAGCAGUGGGGAAUUGUUCGCAAUGGGCGCAAGCCUGACGACGCAACGCCGCGUGGAGGACGAAGAUCUUCGGGUCGUAAACUCCUGUCGAGCGGGACGAACGCUUCGCGGAUGAAUAAUCCGCGGAAUUGACGGUACCGCUAAAGGAAGCCCCGGCUAACUCCGUG